rnacentral:tRNA from 1 species
GCCGGGGUAGCAAAGCCAGGUAAUGCGCACGCCUUGAGAGCGUGUGGCCCUCUGGGCCCCGGGAGUUCAAAUCUCCCCCCCGGCGCCA